rnacentral:lncRNA from 1 species
AAAAAAAAAAAAAAGAAGCAUCUUCUCCAAGGCAUUCCAUGUGCAUCUUUAUUCCUUGCUAUAUAAAACCGCCCUUCCCCUAAUACAUAAUUACUACAUUACCAUACUUCAACUAGCCCCCAUUGCUUCAUAAAUCUUGAAUAUGAGCAUAUAAUAUCAAUCAUGUAUUUACACACAGUUCUCAAUAUUUUAUAAAAAAUCAUAAUAAUCAAGGAAGGC